ACUCAAAUGAAUUGACGGGGACCCGCACAAGCGGUGGAGCAUGUGGUUUAAUUCGACGAUAAACGAGGAACCUUACCUGGGCUCAACUACUAGCUGCAUAUCGCCAGAAAUGGCUUUAGCCUUCGAGGGUGCUAGAUAGGUGCUGCAUGGUUGCCGUCAGCUCGUGCCGUGAGGUGUACCGUUAAGUCGGGAAACGAGCGCAACCCACGUCGUGUGUUAAAUUUACACGCGAGACUGCCCGCGCAAGCGGGAGGAAGGAGUGGACGACGUCAAAUCAGCAUGGCUCUUACGUCCAGGGCCACACACAUGCUACAAUGGCCGGUACAACGGGUUGCUAAACCGCGAGGUGGAGCUAAUCCCAUCAACACCGGUCUCAGUUCAGAUUGAAGGCUGCAACUCGCCUUCAUGAAGUUGGAAUCGCUAGUAAACGCGUAUCAGCCACGGCGCGUUGAAUACGUUCUCGGGUCUUGUACACACCGCCCGU
rnacentral:rRNA from 1 species